rnacentral:misc_RNA from 1 species
GAUGAAGAACGUAGCGAAAUGCGAUACGUAGUGUGAAUUGCAGAAUUCAGUGAAUCAUCGAAUCUUUGAACGCACAUUGCGCCCUUUGGUAUUCCAAAGGGCAUGCCUGUUCGAGCGUCAUUUGUACCCUCAAGCUUUGCUUGGUGUUGGGCGUCUUGUCUCCAGUCCGCUGGAGACUCGCCUUAAAGUCAUUGGCAGCCGGCCUACUGGUUUCGGAGCGCAGCACAAGUCGCACUCUUUUCCAGCCAAGGUCAGCGUCCAACAAGCCUUUUUUCAACUUUUGACCUCGGAUCAGGUAGGGAUACCCGCUGAACUUAAGCAUAUCAAUAGCGGAGGA